GUGUAAUAACAAUAAUAAUAAAAUUGUGCUUCUUGAAUGGAACCGAUCCAUAUUGAUUCAUUGAUUACAAUACAUCGGCAAAGAUUGCCUUGUUGUUUUUUGCACAUAUAACCAGAUUCCAGAAUCGAGGAAAAAACCUAAAUUUCAUGGAUCCAUCACAGUGAAUAAUCUCAGGAAUAAUCAACAGACCAACAACCCAACCAAACAACAAAAACAAAGACGACGCCGAC